AACAUCAAAAUCCACGUUCCUACGCAUUUUAUUGGCCAGUAUAAGACGAUGGACGUAUUCCGUAUCCCUGAUAUCUUCCGACGUGUCGAACGCUCGUUUAACAUUCGAUUAUGCAGAACGUAAAAUAAUUACACGAGGCAAGGGGAGUGAAGAAAGGGAAGUGAAGGAAGGAAUGGAUCGGAGACUGAGACUGUAGACACGUACGUGAUGACAGACGUUAGUGGUAUUCGAAGGGUUCUGUCGUCGAGGGUGUUGACGGUGACCACUGUUCCGGUCAGUGCCUCUCGCAGAAAGAUAUCGACCGUCAUGUGCAAGUCAGAGCCCUCUCUUCGGAAGGUCUCGUGAGGCCGGUCCUCCGUGAUGAAGAUUACAUCCGCUACGCUGACGUGCUUUCGACUGAGUAAAGAUAUUAUGCGAGCCACUACGAUUAACCCAUUUCUGUCCGCUACGAAACGUACGAUGCAUUUUAAAUGCAUCCUUCGCGAAAUUCCAAUCGAUAUACAUAUAUGUAAGCUAAAAGGCUGUAACGAACUUUCACGAGGAUGGAAGAAAUUGUGCGAUCGUCGCGCAUCGUACAAUUUGAUUUCAUGAUUUGUCGGGAUUGGACAGAAAUGUUUUAAAACGAAGUCGAAGUACUGUUUAACAAUUUACCAGGAAUUUUCGUGGGUCCUUGAUCACCCUCCUCUGGAAAUACUAUCCUCGUUCCCGUCGGAAUGCCUGGCUUAAUAGGAAAACCUAUUUACAUUGGCAAGUGGAUUUAGAACCGGUCGUCAGUGUGUGCAACUUCAACGAGUAAUAAUUUAACCAAUUAUAUUAUGUACUUCAGCAAACUUUCGUCAAUGACGGAUGAAAUGGAUUUAUGAAAGUGUGCAAGUGAAAAAGGUACAACGUUGAGUCACACAUUGUCUAACUCAGUGAUUAACACUGAGAGAAGAAAACUAUAAAUAAAUAAAACGUCGAUAUGGUACCUCCACUAGG